rnacentral:rRNA from 1 species
UACGAAGGGGGCUAGCGUUGUUCGGAAUUACUGGGCGUAAAGCGCACGUAGGCGGAUUGCUAAGUCAGGGGUGAAAUCCCGGGGCUCAACCUCGGAACUGCCUUUGAUACUGACAAUCUCGAGUCCGGAAGAGGUGGGUGGAAUUCCUAGUGUAGAGGUGAAAUUCGUAGAUAUUAGGAAGAACACCAGUGGCGAAGGCGGCCCACUGGUCCGGUACUGACGCUGAGGUGCGAAAGCGUGGGGAGCAAACAGG